GAUGAACGCUGGCGGCGUGCCUAAUACAUGCAAGUCGAGCGAACAGACGAGGAGCUUGCUCCUCUGACGUUAGCGGCGGACGGGUGAGUAACACGUGGAUAACCUACCUAUAAGACUGGGAUAACUUCGGGAAACCGGAGCUAAUACCGGAUAAUAUAUUGAACCGCAUGGUUCAAUAGUGAAAGACGGUUUUGCUGUCACUUAUAGAUGGAUCCGCGCCGCAUUAGCUAGUUGGUAAGGUAACGGCUUACCAAGGCAACGAUGCGUAGCCGACCUGAGAGGGUGAUAGGCCACACUGGAACUGAGACACGGUCCAGACUCCUAAGGGAGGCAGCAGUAGGGAAUCUUCCGCAAUGGGCGAAAGCUUGACGGAGCAACGCCGCGUGAGUGAUGAAGGUCUUCGGAUCGUAAAACUCUGUUAUUAGGGAAGAACAAAUGUGUAAGUAAAUAUGCACGUCUUGACGGUACCUAAUCAGAAAGCCACGGCUAACUACGUG
rnacentral:rRNA from 1 species